AGGAAGGAGCGGCGAUAGGAAGGAGUGGACGCUGUACCCUGGUCACAUGAGCAGAAGCGGAAAUACGUAAAGAAAGCGGCAGUCGUACCACGUCCGGAAAAGUUGGGCUGCAGAUCCGUUUGUUUUUUAAGGACCAUGAAAAAGUUCCUCUAACAGACAUCUGGAGAAAAAUUAAAACAACUGUACUAUGGACUGGAUAUUUACCAGGUUGUUGCCGUUUGAGUUCCUGUCCUGUCUGCCUUCAAUGAUGAACAAUGAUGUGAGUCUUUGCUUCAUUGGCGCUGAUGAUGAAUAAAGGAAACAGGAUAGAAAAGAGGCAGCCACUGUUUAAAAAAAAAAAAAAAAAAAAAAGUCAACUUUAUAAGGCAUGACUUUAGGAAACAGUAUUAUAAGCCUCACAUCUCUUCACUUCUGAAUUUCUAAGUAUUUUCCUCCAGGAGGCAGCAUAGAAGAUUUUUUUUUAUAUUUUCAUCUUAAUAAUGACAAAUGUCACUUAAUAUUAACAACAACAACAAAUUUUCCUGAUGGUCAAAUGAUGUAACAUGCUGGUACAGAUGCAGAACAAUAAAAGAUACUUGGAACAU
ensembl:antisense Gm26787 predicted gene, 26787